CUUCUACCUUCAGUUACCCUGUUAACUCUUUUCAUACGCACAGAGAGAAGAAAUCUUCACCUUGAAUUUGCGCCCAUGUAUUAUGUUCCUCAAUGGAUGUCAAAGAAACUAGAUGGGCUGCUGUUGCUAGUGGCUAUGGCUUGGCUAAUCCAUUCUCAAGUACAAGCCCAGCAAACUUAUGUGAACAAUAAACAGCUCGACUGUUACAACACCAACUUCAAUUACACCACCAAAGGAUAUGAAUGCAAUGGCCUUCAAUCAUCAUGCCAAUCCUUUCUCACCUUCCGGUCUGAUCCUACCUACAACACC
rnacentral:misc_RNA from 1 species